GAGUUUGAUCUUGGCUCAGAUUGAACGCUGGCGGCAUGCCUUACACAUGCAAGUCGAACGGCAGCACGGGAGCUUGCUCCUGGUGGCGAGUGGCGAACGGUGAGUAAUGCAUCGGAACGUAGUCCUGGAGUGGGGGAUAAACGUAGCGAAAGUUACGCUAAUACCGCAUAUUCUGUAGAGGCAGGAAAGCGGGGGACCUUCGGGCCUCGCGCUCUUGGAGCGGCCGAUGUCGGAUUAGCUAGGUUGGUGAGGUAAAGGCUCGACCAAGGCGACGAUCCGUAGCAGGUCUGAGAGGAUCGAUCUGCCACACU
rnacentral:rRNA from 1 species